GUGAGGUGUCAGCCGGCUCCGGAGAAGACCGCUGAGGGCUACGGAGAGAUGCGCAGCAGCGUGCGGUUCACCGAGACGGGAGAAUGGGCGAGCGAGCGAGAUAGGAGGGGAUGGUGAAGGACCGGUGGGAAAAGCUUCCCCUUACACUCUGCCAGGCUGCCCCUGCGGCUCGGUCUCCAGGCUUAUUAGCGGUGAGAGAGAGGCAGAGAGAGAGUGGAACACUGAAUGAAGAAAUGCUGGAUGGAGAAACAGGACAAAAAAGCCCCAGAGAUGGAAAAGCGUACAGCGUUUGAACCCAUGCAAGGACCUCAAUCACCCGAUGCCAGGUGUGUUUGAUGAGAGUUGCAACCAAACUCUGCUGGAAAUUAGAUCUACGAGACCAAGAUUGAGCAUCCGAGGUAAAUGGAAAAUCACAGGCCUGCUUUAGUAAUGGAUGAUAAUGCUACAUAGUGUCACAGUGAUCCUAAUUCUGUUGGUACACACCCCGAGAACUAUAGGGGCUCGGUGGAGAUCUGCGAAACAAUCAGGAGUGCUCUGAGAUGCACGGUGAAGGGAAUCUGAUUAGCCUCACUCAAGAGCCCGGUCCUGCUCCACCAUUAUCCCAUUACUGCACCGUGUCCUCUCUCUGCUGCAAUUAAGACAAACCUUCAGAGACAUAAGAGCUCCAUCUCUUUACAGCAAACGCCAUCCAUCAAACAUUUAGCUUUAUAUCAAGGGAGCGAGCGGGUGAGGUGCUUUAUCGGCAUGUCCGUUUGCUCCAGAUCCGGAAUGCGACUGUGCGGAAUGAAAUCGCGGCAGGCAUCUCUGCUGAGAGCCGGGCAGGCCGCUGCAUCCUAAAGGGCUUUACGGGGGGUCGAGUGGUUGGGUUGAUGAGAUCGAGACUGAUGUUGCCUUUGCCAGCUUCGGAAGAUUAAUUAAAACCUGCAGACACACCGCUGUUGGAAGUGCGAGUGUGACAGGAGAGAGAGAGAGAGCUGGGCCGUGAGAAGUUUGUUGUCUUAAAGAAGCAUAUAAAUAAGAGAACAUCUUAAAUGGGCUUUGCACCUGUAAAUGAAGGUAGGGGGUCUUAAUUUAAGUAUGAUAGGUUCAUCAUUCUAUAUGGCUUGGCUACCAGACUGGUUCCGUUAAAGCGCAACAAAUAAUCAAACAUUCCAGUUAGAAACAUUCCAAGUAGCCAGUUCACUUCAGAUUAACAAUAAAAAAAAUAAGUAAAGUCUCUUUUUAAGGUCUUUAAAGCUAAGAUUUGGUUUUAGUGUCUUGAUAAUCUGUCCUAGAUACGUUGAAAACUGAUUCAACUGUAAAGGAGAAGGACCUUUGACUCUUUAUUAUACAUAUGGUUAAUAAAACGUUACAGGAAGCCCCUGG